GUCGGCUGCUCCAGAAGUAGGAACUCCAACCGCAAGGAAGAGCCCUACCAAGGAGCGGUCGGUGACUGGGGUGAAGUCGUAACAAGGUAGCCGUAGGUGAACCUGCAGAAGGAUCA
rnacentral:rRNA from 1 species